AUGAGCAAAAAAAUAGAAAGAUAGAGAAAUCCCUAAUCCGGGUCACUGGGGUACUAAACAAGUGCUGGAGACAGGAUCUAGGAGUCCUAAGGCUUGGAGGAACUAGAGGGCUUAGGAUUGAGUUUGGAGAAGAAUCAACAUGUUCUGAAAAACUCCAUCAUUCUUCCUAUUUUCUUUGGCAAGCUCAGAUCUGAGACCAUUCCUCUCAACUUCUACUUCAACCACACGUGCCUUGAGCCUUUCUAUUUCAGCAUCCUUGGCAGCAUAUUCCUAAACCAGACGCCUAACCUUGCUAUUAAUGGGUGUCCUCUGGGAUGAACCGGGUUCAUAUGGGAUGGCAUUGACUAGAUAGUCACAAGCAAGCAGAGUAUUGAUGCCAAAGUGUUCCUUGCUUGAGACUAUUUCCCAUUUCUUUAGAGGUACAUUUAGCCUGUUUAUAGCUAUGGUUAGAAUAAAGCCAUAUGGUGUACCAUGAGCCUUUCAGCCAUUUAUGACCCUGUCUAGAAACUUGACAAUGAAAGCAGGUCAACUGAUUUGCUUUCCUCUCUCCAGGCACUCCAUAAGAACCAGAUCCAUGUAGUUAGCAGUGUGCCU
rnacentral:lncRNA from 1 species